rnacentral:misc_RNA from 1 species
GGUAGUAGAACAGGGAUUCAAUCUCAACUUUUUGAGGCAAUCAACGAAUACAACUCUUUUUCAGGUAAAAAAAAAAUGAAUGCAAUUCAUUCUUGACUGGCUUGUCUGAAACAUGUUUUGGGGGCAAGAAUGUUGUCUAUUAUAUAACUCGGCACAUUGUUGACCUGUCUCCGGCAGGAAUCCCAUUUGCAUGAGCCUGCGAAUUUGAGGGAGAACAUCAACCAUUUUUUAAGUCAAAAAGCCAAUUUCCCCUCCCCAUGGAAUCAUGAAAGAUAGCUGGCUCCACUAUAGCUAGGAAGCACAAACUGCGAUUAUCAAGGAUGUGACGACAUUGGCUUACCGCUUUACUUUCACCCUUUUUUUUU